rnacentral:rRNA from 1 species
GGAUCCAGACUUUGAUUCUGGCUCAGGACGAACGCUGGCGGCGCGCCUAACACAUGCAAGUCGAGCGGGAAGCUUUUUAAGGAUUCUUCGGAUGAAUUAAAAAGUGGAGAGCGGCGGACGGGUGAGUAACGCGUGAGAAACCUGCCCUAUACAGGGGGAUAGCCAUUGGAAACGAUGAUUAAUACCCCAUAUGACCACAGUAUCGCAUGAUACAGCGGUGAAAACUCCGGUGGUAUAGGAUGGUCUCGCGUCUGAUUAGCUAGUUGGUGGGGUAACGGCCUACCAAGGCGACGAUCAGUAGCCGGCCUGAGAGGGUGACCGGCCACACUGGAACUGAGACACGGUCCAGACUCCUACGGGAGGCAGCAGUGGGGAAUAUUGCACAAUGGGCGAAAGCCUGAUGCAGCGACGCCGCGUGAACGAUGAAGGCUUUCGAGUCGUAAAGUUCUGUUCUUGGGGAANAUAACGACGGUACCCAAGGAGAAAGCACCGGCUAAAUACGUGCCAGCAGCCGCGG